CCCUAACUCCUCUAGAGCACCCCGCGUUCGCCCGGCCUCUGCCCGGAGUUCUCGAAGCUCCCGCUCCAGGCUGAAUAUGCGUGAUUUCCCGUCCCGGGUCCAAGCCAAACCUUGGAGGUGCCGGCUCAGUUCUGAGGGGGCGCCGCCCUGCCGCCCCCACAAGAUAAUCAACACAGCUGAAGGAAUGAAAGUUCUGGGAGAACACAAUGAAUCAGAAGAGGGAAUCAAAUACAGAAAGCUUCUCACAGUCUCUGCUCUCUGAGAAGUCUCCAUUCCGGUCAUCCUUCAGAGUCUUCAGGAACUCGCUCUUCCUGUCAGUAGUUCGGCGGGUCAACUUGGUCAGACGAGAGGAGCUGAUCUCAAUUGGAGGAGUGGUGCUGGCGGGGCUCUGGGCAAAUACCACAAAUAGGUUGCUCUUGACAGCAAAGAAAGAUCCGGGGAUUCCCUGGUAGUGCAGUGGUUAAGAAUCCGCCUGCCAAUGCGGGGUACGUGGGUUCGAUCCCUGGCCUGGGAAGAUCCCACAUGCCAUGGAGCAACUAAGCCCGUGUGCCACAACUACUGAGCCUGUGCUCUAGAGCCUGUGAGCCACAACUACUGAAGCCAGCGCGCCUAGAGCCUGUGCUCUGCGACAAGAGAAGCCACUGCAAUAAGAAGCCCGCGCACCACAAAGAAGAGUAGCCCCUGCCUGCCCCAACUAGAGAAAGCCUACGUGCAGCAAUGAAGACCCAAUGCAGCCAAAAAUAAAUUAAAAAAUAAAAUA